rnacentral:misc_RNA from 1 species
GAAAUGCGAUAAGUAAUGUGAAUUGCAGAAUUCAGUGAAUCAUCGAAUCUUUGAACGCACAUUGCGCCCGGCAGCAAUCUGCCGGGCAUGCCUGUCCGAGCGUCAUUUCUGCCCUCGAGCGCGGUUCGGCCCCUAGCGGGCCGGCCGCCGCCCGGUGUUGGGGCGCAGCGGGCCCUCGUGCCCGCAGGCCCUGAAAUGAAGUGGCGGUCCCGCCGCGGCGCCCCCUGCGUAGUAGUAAAGCACCUCGCAUCGGGUCCCGGCGGAGGCCAGCCGUCGAACCUCUCUUUUGAUGGUUUGACCUCGGAUCAGGUAGGGUUACCCGCUGAACUUAAGC